AAGAAUCCACUAAAUUUAUAUGGCUACAUUACCACGGAGACUAAAAGUGGUCUAAAAUAAAAAUAAUCAUCCAGAAAAUAAAUAGCAAAUUAAUAUUUGAGAAAUCUUGCAAUGACGAAGCAUUGCCGGGUCAGGUAGUACUGAAUAAUUGUAAUAUUUUGUAACAAAUAUGUCAUGUAAGAUGUGUCAUGUCAUGGAUAAGAUAAGAUUAUGGGUUCUAUAAAAUUGUUAUCAGACACAUAAUUGAUCUAAAAAAAAAAUAUGUACAAAAUUCCAAAAUUCUUUGAACUGUGCUCACACCUCCUUUGGGUGGAAAACUCUAAAAUACUUAAUUAUAUAAAAAUAAAAUGUAUUUAGAUUCUUUACAUGAU